rnacentral:rRNA from 1 species
GGUUCGAUUCCGGAGAGGGAGCCUGAGAAACGGCUACCACAUCUAAGGAAGGCAGCAGGCGCGUAAAUUACCCAAUCCAGACAUUGGGAGGUAGKGACGAGAAAUACCAAAGCGUGCCUAUGGUUCGCUAUUGGAAUGAACGUAACAUAGUACCUUCGAUGAGUACCUACUGGAGGGCAAGUCUGGUGCCAGCAGCCGCGGUAAUUCCAGCUCCAGUAGUGUAUAUCAAAAUUGUUGCGGUUAAAACGCUCGUAGUUGGAUUACAAGAGUUUGGCGUCGGUCGAGCGACAAGUUUGGCAGGCGUUAGGCUUUUUUAUCGCAAGAACCUUGUAUGCACUUGACCGUGUGUAUCUGGCCACUUGCGGAGCGUGCCUUGAAUAAAGCAUAGUGCUCAAAGCAGGCGAAACGCUCGAAUGUUAUAGCAUGGAACGAAUAACCUGGCAGGUUCAGUUGUUGGUUCUCUGAACCGGGUCCACUGAUUAAAAGGGACAUUUGAGGGCGUUAGUACUUGGUGGCGAGAGGUGAAAUUCUUAGACCCACCAAAGACUCACUGAUGCGAAAGCAUUCGCCAAGAAUGUUUUCAUUGAUCAAGAACGAAAGUUAGAGGUUCGAAGACGAUCAGAUACCGUCCUAGUUCUACACAGUAAACUAUGCCACCUCGGAAUCAGUCCGGARAUAGAUCCAGGUUGGUUCCCCAAGGAAACUUGAAGCUUUCGGGUUCCGGGGGAAGUACGGUCGCAAGUCUGAAACUUAAAGAAAUUGACGGAAGGGCACCACCAGGAGUGGAGCCUGCGGCUUAAUUUGACUCAACACGGGGCAACUCACCAGGUCCAGACAUUGAAAGGAUUGACAGACUGAUAGAUCUUUCAAGAUCCAAUGAUUGGUGGUGCAUGGCCGUUCUUAGUUGGUGGAGUGAUCUGUCAGGUCUAUUCCGGUAACGAGCGAGACCACGAUCUCUAUUUGAUUACGACACUGGUAGUCGGUGUCGGUCAUAGAGAGACUACCGGAAUACAAGCCGGGGGAAGCGUGGCAAUAACAGGUCUGUGAUGCCCUUCGAUGUUCUGGGCCGCACGCGCGCUACAAUGGCAGUGACAACAAGUUUCUGCACCGAGAGGUGUGGAGAAUCUUGACAAUCGCUGUCGUGAUUGGGAUUGAGCCUUGUAAUACUUGCUCAUGAAAGAGGAAUUCCUCGUAAGCGCAAGUCACCAACUUGUGUUGAAUACGUCUCUGCCCUUUGUACACACCGCCCGUCGCUACUACCGAUUGAAUGGCUUUUCGAGAAAUCGGGAUCGGAGGCCGCGAGGC